AUACGUAGGGUGCGAGCGUUGUCCGGAAUUACUGGGCGUAAAGAGCUCGUAGGUGGUUUGUCGCGUCGUCUGUGAAAUUCCGGGGCUUAACUCCGGGCGUGCAGGCGAUACGGGCAUAACUUGAGUACUGUAGGGGAGACUGGAAUUCCUGGUGUAGCGGUGAAAUGCGCAGAUAUCAGGAGGAACACCGGUGGCGAAGGCGGGUCUCUGGGCAGUAACUGACGCUGAGGAGCGAAAGCAUGGGUAGCGAACAGGAUUAGAUACCCUGGUAGUCCAUGCCGUAAACGGUGGGCGCUAGGUGUAGGGGUCUUCCACGACUUCUGUGCCGUAGCUAACGCAUUAAGCGCCCCGCCUGGGGAGUACGGCCGCAAGGCUAAAACUCAAAGGAAUUGGCGGGG
rnacentral:rRNA from 1 species